rnacentral:rRNA from 1 species
GCGCCCGGCCGCAGCUCCCGCCCGCAGCAUCGCCUUCGCGCCCGGCCGCCCGCACGCCCCGCCAGCCACUUCUGUGAGGCCCUCUGGACGGUGGCCGUGCAGGACGGGGUAGGACGGGGUAGACUGGUGGCAGUGGCGGCGCUGCUGCUGCCGGUGGUCGUGUUGCUGCCGCGGUGUCGGGGCGUCGCGGCGCAGCCCACGCCACGGUGCGGGGACGGCGACCUUGCCGCGUUGCGAGGGUUCUCGGCCGGUCUUGAUGCUCUGGUGGAUGGAUGGCCGGCCGUCGCUGAUGACGAUGAGGACGGCUGCUGCGCGUGGCCAGGCGUGGUAUGCGGCCGCGCGGGCGUCGUCGGGGUGGUGCUGCCGAACCGGGGGGAUAUGACCGCGUUGCUCACCGGGCUGACGGCGCUCCGCGUGCUCAACCUCUCCGGCAACGCGCUGCGGGGCGCGCUCCCGCCCGGCCUCCUCCGGCUGCACCGCCUCGAGGUGCUCGACGUCAGCUCCAACGCGCUCGCCAGCGCGAUCGGGCCCGAGCUCGAGCUCCCGGCGGCGCGCAUGUUCAACGUGUCGUACAACGCGUUCAACGGCAGCCACCCGGUGCUCCCCGGCGAGGCCCCGACCCCGCCGCCCAAGCCGCCGCGCCCCUCUCCUCCGACCCCUCCUCCUUCCCAGCCCUGCGCUCCGGCACGCCUCGCCGCGCCUCCGCCCACGCCGGCCCGCGUCCUCCAGCCCCGCACUUCGCGGGCGUCCGCCGCUUCCCCGAAUCACGGCCUCAUCUCCGGCCGUCGCGCCGCCUCCCCGAACCAU